ensembl:lncRNA
GGCGAUAAACGUAAAGUCGAGGUCUAAUAAACGUAAAGUCGAGGUGAUAAACGUAAAGUCGAGGUGAUAAACGUAAAGUCGAGGUGAUAAACGUAAAGUCGAGGCGAUAAACGUAAAGUCGAGGCGAUAAACGUAAAGUCGAGGCGAUAAACGUAAAGUCGAGGUGAGAAACGUAAAGUCGAGGCGAUAAACGUAAAGUCGAUGUGAUAAACGUAAAGUCGAGGCGAUAAACGUAAAGUCGAGGCGAUAAACGUAAAGUCGAGGUGAGAAACGUAAAGUCGAGGCGAUAAACGUAAAGUCGAGGCGAUAAACGUAAAGUCGAGGUCUCAUAAACGUAAAGUCGAGGUCUGAUAAACGUAAAGUCGAGGCGAUAAACGUAAAGUCGAGGUGAUAAACGUAAAGUCGAGGUGAUAAACGUAAAGUCCAGGUGAUAAACGUAAAGUCGAGGUGAUAAACGUAAAGUCGAGGCGAUAAACGUAAAGUCGAGGUCUGAUAAACGUAAAGUCGAGGCGAUAAACGUAAAGUCGAGGUGAUAAACGUAAAGUCCAGGUGAUAAACGUAAAGUCCAGGUGAUAAACGUAAAGUCGAGGUGAUAAACGUAAAGUCGAGGUCUAAUAAACGUAAAGUCGAGGUGAUAAACGUAAAGUCCAGGUGAUAAACGUAAAGUCCAGGUGAUAAACGUAAAGUCCAGGUGAUAAACGUAAAGUCGAGGUGAUAAACGUAAAGUCGAGGUCUAAUAAACGUAAAGUCGAGGUGAUAAACGUAAAGUCG